CCUGGUCCGUGGGUCGGAUAUCUGGCGGUCACACCCAGCGCGAAGAUCUGCGGGCGGAAACGGAAUCUGCUCCUUCCGGGAAAGGCUGGCUGCGCGGUUGCGUGCAGCGUGUGUUGAGGAGCAGCUCUGGAAACUUAAAGAGCCCGACGAUCAAGUGAUCUUGCCAACUACCAUUUUAAUCAACUUCAUGUUUUAUUUUGUUGUGGUGGUACAGGCAUGAUAUUUCAAGCUUGUCAACAUAUUCAUGGAGGCAGAGACAGGAGGAUUGCUAUUAGGUCCGUGCCAGCCUGGCCUACGCAAGCCCAAUGCAAGCCCUGGCAGAUGUCUUCAACACCAGAGUGACACUCAGGCCAGGAUUGAGGGCUGGAAGCACAGGGGCAAGAAAUACCUUUGAAACACUCCAGUGCCCAAAUUGCUCACUGGUGUUUCUGCCUUGUGAGCCAGGGCACGAGGCUUUGUUUGGGUCACUACUUUUCAUUCCUUCCAAGAUGGACAAGAUGUUUGUUUUGUGCACAGUAAGUGGAACACAGGGCCUCCAGCAUGGUGCUUGUAUGAUCUCAUCAGAAACUAAGGAAUAG
rnacentral:lncRNA from 1 species